rnacentral:rRNA from 1 species
UACGUAGGGAGCUAGCGUUGUCCGGAAUCAUUGGGCGUAAAGCGCGCGUAGGCGGCCCGGUAAGUCCGCUGUGAAAGUCAAAGGCUCAACCUUUGAAUGUCAGUGGAUACUGCCGGGCUAGAGUCCGGAAGAGGCGAGUGGAACUCCUGGUGUAGCGGUGGAAUGCGCAGAUAUCAGGAAGAACACCAACGGCGAAGGCAAUCCCCUGGGCCUGCACUGACGCUCAUGCACGAAAGCGUGGGGAGCAAACAGG